rnacentral:rRNA from 1 species
GAUCCUGGCUCAGGACGAACGCUGGCGGCGUGCCUAACACAUGCAAGUCGAACGGAGAUAAAGAUUUCGGUUUUUAUCUUAGUGGCGCACGGGUGAGUAACACGUGAAUAACCUGACCCAAAGAGGGGGGAUAACACCUGGAAACAGGUGCUAAUACCGCAUAAGACCACAAUGUCGCAUGACGAAGGGGUCGAAAGAAAAAAUACGCUUUGGGUAGGGGGUUCGGUCGUCCCACUAGUAGUAGGCGGGGUAGUAGCCACCUA